GAAACACAACCCUAGAUCAUUUCACUCCGGUCCAAAAGGGAGAUGUUCAUUGUCAGACGGCACUUUUCUGGAUUCUCUCUCAAGCAGUUAACGCUGCUCACAAAGCUGAAUUGUUUUCAGGUAAUUCAAAAAGGGCUAUAUCAGACCUAGCACGUCCAACACAGGAUCGGUUUGUUUCCCUUUCUCAUAAAAUAUCAUCAGUUUUAUUUUUUUAAUCCGUAUUUGGGAAUUGUCUUCAAUAUUAUUGCAAUCGGUGUUGAUUUAUAGGCACCUAACUGAUAUACGCUACACAUUUGAGAAUUAUA
rnacentral:lncRNA from 1 species